rnacentral:rRNA from 1 species
UACGUAGGUGGCGAGCGUUGUCCGGAAUUACUGGGUGUAAAGGGCGUGUAGGCGGGCAGAUAAGUCAGAUGUGAAAUACCGGGGCUCAACCCCGGGGCUGCAUUUGAAACUGUAUGUCUUGAGUGCCGGAGAGGAAAGCGGAAUUCCUAGUGUAGCGGUGAAAUGCGUAGAUAUUAGGAGGAACACCAGUGGCGAAGGCGGCUUUCUGGACGGUAACUGACGCUGAGGCGCGAAAGCGUGGGGAGCAAACAGG